GAAAACCAAUUUUACCAUAGGCUAAUUGACAUAAACAAGAGAAGUUCCUAUGGCAUAUUUCUUGUCACAAAAAAUAUCAGCAACCUUUA